AGCGAACGCUGGCGGCAGGCCUAACACAUGCAAGUCGAACGGACCCUUCGGGGUUAGUGGCGGACGGGUGAGUAACACGUGGGAACGUGCCUUUAGGUUCGGAAUAGCUCCUGGAAACGGGUGGUAAUGCCGAAUGUGCCCUUCGGGGGAAAGAUUUAUCGCCUUUAGAGCGGCCCGCGUCUGAUUAGCUAGUUGGUGAGGUAAAGGCUCACCAAGGCGACGAUCAGUAGCUGGUCUGAGAGGAUGACCAGCCACAUUGGGACUGAGACACGGCCCAAACUCCUACGGGAGGCAGCAGUGGGGAAUCUUGCGCAAUGGGCGAAAGCCUGACGCAGCCAUGCCGCGUGGAUGAUGAAGGUCUUAGGAUUGUAAAAUCCUUUCACCGGUGAAGAUAAUGACUGUAGCCGGAGAAGAAGCCCCGGCUAACUUCGUGCCAGCCGCCGCAGUAAUAC
rnacentral:rRNA from 1 species